UACAGAGGGGGCAAGCGUUAUUCGGAAUUAUUGGGCGUAAAGCAUCCGUAGCCGGUUUUACAAGUCCUCCGUUAAAUCCAGCUGCUUAACAGAUGGGCUGCGGAGGAUACUAUAAGACUAGGAGGCAGGAGAGGCAAGCGGUACUCAGUGGGUAGGGGUAAAAUCCGUUGAUCCAUUGAAGACCACCAGUGGCGAAGGCGGCUUGCCAGAAUGCGCUCGACGGUGAGGGAUGAAAGCUGGGGGAGCAAACCGG
rnacentral:rRNA from 1 species